ACGGAGGAAUGACUUGGAAAGAUGUGCCCAUAGAGUCACAUUUUCAAAAAGGUACUGAAGUUUGGUUUGUGAGCUAUUUGAGCCACCGAGUGCUUUUUGACGUUAAGAUUCAUUGCUGUGUGAAUUACGAAGCCUGUUUCGGUCAAGGGACCAAACUGACGGUUUUAGAACCAGGCCAUGACAUCACACCGCCAGAACGCGUAUCAGUGUUUAAACCAAAGGGGUGCAAAAACAAGAAGGUGACAUUGGUGUGCGUGGCCUCGGGUUUCUAUCCAGACCACGUCACUGUGUCCUGGAACAUCAAUCAGGACAAAGACACUAAAAAUGUGGCGACCGACGCCAUCGCCCUGCGGGAAGGUAAAUAUUACAGCAUCACCAGCAGGCUGAAGGUCACGGACAGCAUGUGGUUCACAAGGAGCAACAAGUUCACCUGUGUGGUCGAUUUCUUCAACGGAACAGCAACAAAAUCAUAUAAUGGGUCAAUUUACGGUGAAGUGAAAAGAACAAACCUGGCAACAGGUAUCAGAAGCGUCACACGAGAUGAGUACGUGAGGGUCAUGCAGAUGGCCAAACUCUCCUACUGUGUGUUCAUCUUCAAGAGCUGCAUCUACGGAGGCUUUGUGGCCUUUUUGGUCUUGAACCAUCAGAGUGUCACUGGAAAGCAGUCCGACUGAGAGCUGUGAUCAAGCCCCCAAAAAAAGGUUAAACUGCUGUAAACAGGAUUUAAAAUAAAGCACUUAUAUGUCAUCAGUGAAGUUUGUGUUCAGUGUGAAAUCUGCCAAAUUCUGCGUGCAGUUAAAGAACAAUGUUAAGUGUGUACAUGCUGCAAUAUGUGCCUGCACAUUGUAAAAGUGAUCAGGGCAAUUCAACUUCAAAACUUAAGUUAAAUUACUUCCUUAAAAAAACGUAAGUAAGCUCAACUUCAAGAAAAGCUUUUAUUCAGCUCAGGAAGGUAAGUUAGAUAAGUUGGCAACUUUUCUAACUUACCAAACUGAGUUGAAUAAAUGAUGUUUUUUAAGGCAGCAGUUGAAUUUAAGUUUUUAAGUUGAAUUGCCCUGAUUGUUUUUACAGUGUAAUGAUUCCGUGCUUCUGGUUGUGAAGUGCUUUUUGUAGAAUUAUAUUUUUAAAUAAAGUAUUUUGAGGAGUAUUG